CGAUAUUCGUGCUGUCAGAGGAAACGCGAACCUACCAGGCAGACUUCCGUUCGACCAUCGUUCUUUCGUUCUCGACCCGUCAAACCGACCAGAAGGAAAAUGAGAGCUAAGUGGCGUAAGAAGCGUAUGCGUAGGUUGAAGCGUAAGCGCAGAAAGAUGCGUGCACGUUCCAAGUAGGUGCAGCGCCAUCGACCACUAACUGGAACUUUUGACCUACAAGCACACAACUACUGAAACAUGCCGUCUGGGCCCCACAUUGUGGCCCGAAAGUAAUUUUGUAAAAACAGUUUUCACGCAAAACAAGAAAAUGUGCAUUUAAAAUACACUUCCGAAUUUCACGUUUAAAUUGAUUCUAAUAAAUUACUGGAUUUUCACAAAAGUUCCAACUGAAUCAAAUCAUGUGUUCUUAAUAAUAGAGUGGUAGAGAAAAAAGCGGCACCCAGCGUGCUGUUUCAACAUAACCACAUUUGUAUGUCAUCUGUGUGUGUGUAUGUAGCGCACAGAGCACGUUUUGGCUAAAAUGUUACACUAAUUUUUGACAUUCCGAUCAUUUUUAUUCGUGAAAUAUAGAGUAAUUUUUUUCUCAAGCUUGGAAGUUUAUGACACCGUGCCGGCAGAAAACUGGAGAAAGUAAUCGCUUGAAACAAGAAGAUUAGUGAGACCGUUCGCAGAGCUCAGCGCUUAGUACU
rnacentral:misc_RNA from 1 species